CCCUUAGAUGUCCUGGGCCGCACGCGCGCUACACUGACAUGUUCAACAAGUUUCUCCUAGUUCGACAGGACUGGGAAAUCUUUGAACGCAUGUCGUGAUAGGGAUAGAUCAUUGCAAUUAUUGAUCUUGAACGAGGAAUUCCUAGUAAACGCGAGUCAUCAGCUCGCAUUGAUUACGUCCCUGCCCUUUGUACACACCGCCCGUCGCACCUACCGAUUGAAUGUUUCGGUGAAGAUUCCGGAUAGGACUGAUUUGAUUUAUUUCAUUUCUGACCUAAAAGAUAUCUAAACCUCAACAUUUAGAGGAAGGUGAAGUCGUAACA
rnacentral:rRNA from 1 species